UUUAUUUCAUCUUGAAAUCUAAAGCUUACUUUUGCUGCAUUCAAGAUUCUUGGUUGGCACUCAUUUUUUUUCAGGUUGAUAUAUGUUGUUCCAGGAUCUUCUAGCUUUUAGGGUCUAUGAUGAAAAAAACUGCCAUUAUCCCAACUGAUUUUCCCCUAUAUAUAAUCUGAUUCCUUUCUCUCAUGGUUUGUAAAAUUCUCUCCAUAUAUUGUAUGGUGAGCAUUUUUAUUAUUAUGUGCCUUGGUAUGGAUCUGUUUUGAUUUUGUACAUUUGGCAUCCUGUAGCCUCUUCAAUUUGGAUUUCCAAUUCAUUUUUCGUGUUUUGAAAGUUUUCUGAUAUUAUUUCUGUGAAUAGAUCCUUGAUUCCUUUGGUUUGGUCCUCUAUGCUUCCCUCUAUCCCAAUAACUCCCAAAUUUGGCUUUUUAUGCUAUCCCUUAUUUCUUGAAUGUUCUGCUCCUGGUUCCUUACCAUUUUCACUCUAUGGUCUAUGUUCCUUUCAAGAUUAUAUAUUUUAUCUUCAUUGUCUGAUGUCCUAUCUUCCCUGUGGUCUUCUCUGUUCGUG
rnacentral:lncRNA from 1 species